UCCUAAAAUAGCAAUGGCGCCCGCCUGAGAGGUGCCGGCAAGUUCCAGUUGAAAAAAAAGCCAUGACUGUGAUAAAUCAGAAGAAACUCACAGAGGAAAGAACACACAACUGAACUGAAGAUAGAGGUGAUGUAUGUUUAACACAGAGAGAAGAAAAGAAAUGCAUUGUGUGGUGGCAAAGACCCAGCGCUGGGCGAGUAUGAGAAGCAGAUAUAACCCCGUACACUUGGCUUAACUGCAAACCAGUGACUCAACCCAUCACGCAUCUGUGCACCAAGCAUGGAUCACACAUGUGACAGAGGCACCAACACUUUUACUUACAUUUCAGCUUCAAAAAGGAAAGGAACAGGGGGCUGAGCAGAGAAAUUUGCAGUCUGUCUCCAUUGACCAGGCACAUAAUCCAGAAGAAGUUGUAAAAUACAACAAUGAGUCUUGUGGCAUCUUAAAGACUAACGAAUGUAUUAUGGCAUAAGCUUUAUCAUGCUAAUCCACUUCUGAGUUGCAGGUACAUAUACUGUAUAUGUUAGGGAUAAUGCAAGUUGAGAAGUUCAUGUGCAUAACAGGCCAUUGUGCACAUUCAGCAGACUUUAUGGACAAUGUGCACAUCACCCAGCCACGAAGUAACAAAUGUGCACAUUUCUCACUCCAACUACAUAAUCUCCAACAAGCCUUAGGGAAUGUGCAUAUCUCAACUGCAUUACCCCACUACUUACUGGUUCGUCAGGAUUUAAGAGCAGCCUUGUUCAAAGAUUUAAAUCUCCAAAUUGGGAGAUUGACUGGGUAUUUGAUUAAGUUUUUAGUAGGGGACAGGUCCCGCUACACCUCUGAAAAGUGGCCUGUUUUGCCUUUAGAGUGACAAUUUAAGGAGAAAGGUUUGUGGGAAUGAUAAGUUAUAUUCUUCA